rnacentral:misc_RNA from 1 species
GAUGAAGAAUGCAGCGAAAUGCGAUAAGUAAUGUGAAUUGCAGAAUUCAGUGAAUCAUCGAAUCUUUGAACGCACAUUGCGCCCUCUGGUAUUCCGGGGGGCAUGCCUGUUCGAGCGUCAUUAUAACCACUCAAGCUCUCGCUUGGUAUUGGGGUUCGCGGUUUCGCGGCCCCUAAAAUCAGUGGCGGUGCCUGUCGGCUCUACGCGUAGUAAUACUUCUCGCGAUUGAGUUCGAUAGGUCUACUUGCCAGUAACCCCCAAUUUUUACAGGUUGACCUCGGAUCAGGUAGGGAUACCCGCUGAACUUAAGCAUAUCAAUAAGCGGAGGA